GACAUACUCCCUCCGUUCGGAAUUACUUGUCACAGAAAUGGAUGUAUCCAGAUGUAUUUUAGUUCUAGAUACAUCCAUUUCCGAGACAAGUAAUUCCGAACGGAGGGAGUACAAG
rnacentral:pre_miRNA from 1 species